CUAUUUAAGGUAAUACGCUCCUGAAUGUGCUAAAAUCAAAUACCGCAGCUGGACCAGAUUAACUCAGGACACCACCAGUGGACUAGAAUUGGGAAUGAACACAUGGACAAAUUACACUUGUGACCUAAUGGUCCACUGCCACGGAAUGACCCCACACGAUCUUACCUGCUCCUCAGACCACAGCCAAGGAAGAGAUUUCUGACAAACAAGCAAAAACACAACACUGUCCACACAACUGUAAAUAUGCAAGGAAGAGUUUCUUCUUGCCUGAAAACUGCCUUUGGACUUGGACUAGAAUUUCACCACUGGGGCUCUUGGAUCUCGAGUCUGUAGAGGGCAGAUCGUGGGAUUUUUCAGCCUCCAAAAUCAUGUGAGCCAAUUCCUCAUAAUAAAUCUCCUUCUAUAUCUA
rnacentral:lncRNA from 1 species